UCCCUCAUCAGCUUGCUGAUAUCGGAGCGCUUAAGAAACAAAAGAUUGGGCCAAGUCACGGUUCAGUCGACCUACAAAAGCGGACCUUCGCCGUCUUCGUUUCUCUUUCUUCUCGGAUGCAUUCCACUGUUUCGCGUGUCCGCGAGACGCUGUGGGCUCGUACAGAAUUGGGCCUGUAGCUCAGGUGGUUAGAGCGCACGCCUGAUAAGCGUGAGGUCGGUAGUUCAACUCUACCCAGGCCCACCAAUUCUGUUGGGCGGCCUCAUUUUUGGUUAUGGGGCUGUAGCUCAGUUGGGAGAGCGGUAGCUUUGCAAGCUUCAGGUCGUCGGUUCGAUCCCGUCCAGCUCCACCAUUUCCUUUGUUGAAGGAAAUGAUACGCGCAUCCGAGAGCAAAGAAACGAUUUGCAAUCGUGAGCGGCCCGCAAGGCCGGUUCGCAAUUGCCUGUUCAAGAACAUUGUAGAGAGAAGGUCCGAUCGGCCGGUUCAGCUGCUACUUUUAGCCGGCGGCUUUACCUUACGAAAAGGCGAUGCCUAACCGCACGCUGUCAGUCGGAUCUCGUGAAAACUGGUCUUUCGCCAGUAUGAAGCCCAUUCCAGUGGGAACUUACUUCAUGCUGGCAACUCAGCACAUUAUGUCCGCCGGGGAGGCACACGAACC
rnacentral:tRNA from 1 species